rnacentral:lncRNA from 1 species
GCAAUUAGAGCAAUCCGAGAUCAAAAAAUGAUAAAUUGUAAGGUAUCGACUUGGCAUAGUUUAUGAAAGAAUAUAUAUUGGCUUAAGCACAAAUAGCGAAUUGACAUUAAUGACUUAUACACACUUGAAUUAAAAAAUCCAUGUUUAAUUUAGGAUAUUAUGGCCAUAUGGGUGAUGAAUGAAAGAAGGUCAUGCAAGAGGAUAGAAAGGUGGUAAUCGUUUCAAAUAUGCAUGCGCCAGUACACAUGAUGAUCAAUGAACAUUCACGUUCAAACUCCAACUGUUUUUUUCUCCUUUUCAAUUUCUUUCUUUACUUUUCAAAUCCAUAACACUUUCAACUUAAAAAUUGUAUAGCAAUGCACCAACUCCGGGAAUUUAGCAUGACAAACUUUUAUUUAAGGCUUGUGUAUACGAAUAUCAAAAAAAAAAGAUAAUAAGAAUGGCUCAAUGGAAUGAAAUCGCCAUACUUUUAUAAUCCGAAAAAACAAUCAAAUCAAAACUGUCACAGUGAUAAGAGUCAACAACUACAACUAAUACAGUAAACCAAAAUCAAGCUAAUGAAGUAUUCAAUGAAUGAACAUCAACAUGCCCUUGAAUAAAUGUCAAUCACUCCGAAAAAUGAGUAUUAGGCUCUAACACUCACAAGGUACAAUAUCCACCUAUAAGGAACGUACGCACACGAGAGGAUACCAAAUGACUGGCUCUAGCAUGCUAGUGACACGAAUGUAGACUCUAUCUUAUGAUGGUUUAUGGACAAAACCUUGCAAUUUUUCAGGGAAACAAAGUGAAUCAUUUUAUCCACUCAACUAGUUUAAUGCAUGGAGGAACGUAUCUUAUCACAAGAUUGCAAUGACAUGAAUAAAACGAUGGUUCCUCAAGAUAAUCUCCAACCCUUCCAAUCACAACAAUAACUAAACAUGAAGAGUUUAUGAAAAAGUGUGAGAAAUACAAAUCACAGUACCGAACCAUAUGAUACAUCAAACAUUUACCGAAGAUUUCCAAGUGUCCACAAGAUAGAUCAAUCAUGUACUAAUACUUGAAAAUUACUCAAUAAAGCAUAACAAGGUUUUAUAGAAUAAUUUAUUUUUUUUUUUAUUUUUUAUUUAUUUUAUUUAUUUAUAUUAUUUUUUCAAAAUUUAACCCAAAAACUAACCCUUCACCCCCCAACUUGAAAGGUGCAGUGUCCACAAUGCACAAAGGAGAACUAUAAACAAAAGAAGGAGAACAAGAGGGGUAACCAUGAUCGCAUAUUCCAAGUGCUAAGCCUGCAAGGAAGCUAGAAUACACACAAAAAAAAAAAGUAAACUAUGGAAUGAAAAUGACAUAAAAUUAAAACAUGUAAUUACAGACAUAAAAGUUAAAUAAUUUCCUAAGGGACGACGAUGGAACAAAAGAACUCAAGGAGGAUCCCAGUUAGAUAGAUCAACGAGGUCCUCGACGGUUCGUCCUCAUCAAAGGUUCAAGAACAGCUUAAGUCUUUGGCAUUCACUUUAAAAAUGUUUGUCGUUUUCAAUGGAAUUUUCAAUCUAAUAGCACCAUGGGAACAAAACGUCUAACCACAUAAGAUCCUUGCCACGAGGACCUGACUUACCAGGAAAGGAGGUGGAGAAGCGGAAAAUGUACUGAGAACCUUUUGGUUUGGUAAAAGGUUUGCCGCAUGAUUAUCUUGUCAUGAAAGGCUUUGACCUUUUCUUUGUAAAUACGGGUUCUCUCAUAAGCAUAUUGCCUUAACUAUUCAAGCUCCGGAGAGUGGAGCUUCUUUGGGCACCGGCCUAGGUAGCGAAAAUUUAAACUUUGAUCGCCCAAUAGGCUCGAUGCUCUAUCUCAACCGGCAAAUGACAAGCCUUUCUGUAAACAGCCGAUAGGGGACAUGCCUAAAAUGGUCUUGAUGUCGUGCGGUAGCCCAUAGGCAUCGAGUCAAUCGGAAGACCCAUCCUUUGGUUGGGGUUCACCGUCUUUUCAAGAAUGGGCUUAUCUCCCUAUGGCAAGCGGCUGGCCCAUUAGUUUGGGGGUGAGUUGAUAGGGUGGACACUUUAUGCGUGAGGCUAUGGUGUCAUUAAAACCUCAAGUGGCUUAUGCAAAAGUGUAUGCCUUCUAGUCACUUAUCGACCACUCGAGGCAUCCCGAACGUGAAAAGAUAUUUCUUUUUAAAAAUAUGAUUACCACCUUGUGGUCAUUCGUUCAUGUGGGGAUACCUCUACCCAUUUUGUACACGUAGUCCACUGCCAGAAGGAUGUUAGAUAGCCAUUAGAAAGGGGAAAAGGGCCUGAAGUCAUUCCCCAACUAGUCAAUAUCUCAAUAACAAGAUGGGUAAAGAGGCAUCAUGUUCGAUGGGAUACACCCCCCAACUUUGGCAUUUCUCCGCAUCUCUUACAGAACUCAAAUGAGUCCUUAAAAAGUGAGGGCCAAUAGAAUCCAUCAUUGUGCAAGAGGUUUUGCGGCAGUUUUCUUUGUAGAGAAAUGAACCAUCCACAUGCCUCCGAAGACAAAAAAUAGUUAC